rnacentral:rRNA from 1 species
CCUACGGGAGGCAGCAGUGAGGAAUAUUGGGCAAUGGGCGCAAGCCUGACCCAGCAACGCCGCGUGAAGGAAGAAGGCUUUCGGGUUGUAAACUUCUUUUCUCAGGGACGAAGCAAGUGACGGUACCUGAGGAAUAAGCCACGGCUAACUACGUGCCAGCAGCCGCGGUAAUACGGUGGGGGCAAGCGUUAUCCGGAUUUACUGGGUGUAACGGGGGCGCAGGCGGCAAUGCAAGCCAGGAGGGAAAACGCGGGGCCCAACCCCUGGACUGCUGUUGAAACUGGAUGGCUGGAGUACAGGAGAGGCAGGCGGAAUUCCUGGUGUAGCGGUGAAAUGCGUAGAUAUUAGGAGGAACACCGGUGGCGAAGGCGGCCUGCUGGACUGUGACUGACGCUGAGGAGCGAAAGCGUGGGUAGCAAACAGGAUUAGAUACCCUUGUAGUC